rnacentral:lncRNA from 1 species
UUUUUUUUUUUUUUUUUUUUAAGGAGGGGGAAAUGGUCUGGAAAUGACAAGAAAGAGCAGGGAAGGGUCCUGACCUGUAUCCAAACCCUGUGUACGUAGACUGUGGGAGAAACACACAACCACGGCUUGAGAAGCUGUAGGGGCAGUAAUGUUCUCCAGAUUCAGGCAGAUUUUGGGUUCAGCAAGAUGGGGAAGGAAAUGUUUCAAAACAACAACAACAGAGGCCUGGAUUUGUGGAAAACUUGCUCACAGACCUUGAAAAACUCACCAACUUUCAUACGGAGUCUGAGGAAUACUUUCACUAACUUAGGUUUUUAUUCAUAUAUACAAAUUGGCUGUGUGUAUAUGGCUUACCAUGCCAAAAACAAAACAAAACAAAACACCCCCCAAAACCCCUGGCAUAUGGAAGUUCCCAGGACUCUUGGCUACCAACUACUCCAAUACACAUCAUGAAAUACGUGCCCACGUUUCACUGCAACAUUACUGACCAGACUCAAUCACUCAUGGUGUAUCCUUGGCGUAAACUCGUCUUAAUUUCUACCUUUAAAAUACAGAAGAGGGAGUUCCUGUCAUAGUGCAGCGGAAACAAAUCUGACUAGCACCCAUGAGGACGCAGGUUCGAUCCCUGGCCUCGCUCAGUGGGUUAAGGGUCUGGUGUUGCCGUGAUCUGUGGGGUUGGUCGAAGAUGUUGCUUGGAUCUGGUGUUGCUGUGGCUGUGAUGUAGGCCAGCAGCUACAGCUCUGAUUAGACCCCUAGCCUGGGAACCUCCAUAUCCCACAGGUACAGCCCUAAAAAGACAAAAAAAUAAAAUAAAAUAAAAUACAGAAGAUUACAGGGGGAACAACUCAAAGGGGGAAUCUCAUUUCUUUUCUUUUAAACCAAUUGCUUUUAAAAGCCAUUUUAUUUUCUGGUCUUUCCAUAAAAAAGUUAUUUGCCUUGAGUACACCAAAGCAAAAAAGGUUAUAGAGUUUCCUACUUACAACUGGGCCUGCAUAAAUGUUUAAGUUAAUAAAGAUCCCUGUUCUAAUUUUAUUUGUGGUGCUUCCUCACCUUCUUUCAAAUUCUGGUCCUUGAAUGGUUCAAGUGAUUGAAGAUGCAGCUUAAAGUUUCAUAGGAGCCUCUCAAGGCCGCCUGCAUUAAUCCUCUGCUCCAUACAAUGUAGAAAACAUUAAGUAAAAUUGUCUGAAGUUAAAAUAUGUACUUAAUUCCCACUACAGGGGAUAGAUCUUUUCAGCAGAUGUUUUUCUGGAAUGGCUGGUGAUUGUACAAUAGGAAGAACUAAAAGAAUCAAAAUCAAAGCAGGUAAAGAGGAUGGAUUGGGCAAGGGUUUGGACUGGGAGGCAGGAAUGGCACAUCAAUUAAAUUUCCAGACUACUGCUUAUGAAAAAUAAGCUGUCUUCAGAUCAUUUUUAGGACACGGCUAUACGUGGUAGCCAUGGACCGGAGAAAAUGAACCCAAAUUGAUGUUUAAAAAAAAAAUCAUUUAAGCAAGACGGUCCUAUGCUGUUUAAGUCAAGAUCUCCGAGGGGACUGGGUUCCCUGGUAAAAGGACUGCAUGUUUGUUUGGGAAGCCUUCAUGGUGUAGCCCUCACGGAAAACAAUGAAGGCGGUUGUCUGCAAAGCCCAAGGAGGCCGCAGGUCUGCAAAUCCUGCUCCACCGGGGACCUGCCAGUCCACCACUCCUAAUGGGAGUUUCUGGCCAGCGGAGGAACCCUGUCUGAGCCUGCAGGGGGAUAGGCCUUUUCAUUUGCAAACCGACAUUUGUUCCCAGGCUCAGAGUGACAACAGCUAUGCUUUGGGCCCCGGUGCCAAGGGCAUUCAAAUUUGCUCAUCUGGGGCUCCCACUCUGCAUGGCUUACAUCAGGAGUAAGAGAGAAGUGAGCCACCUGGGAGGGGCAGCAGAUUGUGGUCAAGGUGGGCAUCCUGGCUCCAUCACUUACCAGCUCUAACCUCUGAGUUCCAGCUUCGUCUCUGUAAAACGGGAAUAACAUUACUGCUGGGAAGAUUCAAUGAGACAGGAAUAAAAUAGAUGGCACAGUGUCCGGCCCCCAGCCAGCACUUCUCCCUCUUAUUCAUGAGGUUCGGGCAGGUGGUUUGAAGGUGAGGGAUGCAGGCACCUCCAAGGUGAGGAAGGGGCUUCCUGUACAGCUCUUUAAAAUGUAUUGUUUUCUUUCAGAGGAGCUAUUACACAGCCCACUGAAUCUAAGAGCCACGCUAGCUCAGCUUGAAUACCCUACAUUAAGAAUCAUGUCACACUUGUUUCACGAGUCUCGGAAACCCAAAUCAGACUGCAUUCAGCAUUGGGGAGUGGGAGACACACUGAAAGCCUUUCAAUUUCCCAAGCCAUGAUCGGAAUGAAAUGUUCUCGCAUCAGGCGUUUCACAUUUUAGAAUUCAAUUAUAAGACCCUACCAUUUAGCCUGUUAGGCUGGCAGCCCCACCCCAGAAAGAGUGACAAAAGACAAUCUUUACAGCCAGCCUGAAAGUUCCAGUGCUGUAAAUCACUGGUUAUAGGAUGGUAUGGAACUCAUUAAUAUAAACGAGAAGUCUGAAAGGCACCCAUUAGCACGCUAUUAAUUUGUUUGACGAUCUACGGCGUGGCAAGAGCUAAAAUCGUUAGGCUGGGCACUACGGCGUCUUGUGCAGAAGAAUAAUCUGGUCCCAUUAAUUUUUGUCUUGGGCUUGCCAAAUGUAAUUGGGCAUAAUCAGGGCUCAUACAUCUCCUCAAAGCUUUUUCAUCCUUUCUUUCAAAAGAGGAAAAUCGGGGUGGGGGGGAUGAGCUCAAACUCGGAGGACUCAACAAAGGUAACCUACGACAAGAGGUCUUAAGUGGCAACAGCCCUGUUAAGGACUCUAAGGGCUUCGACCGUUCUGUUUUCUAGCCUGCCUUGGCUCUGCCUGUCCUGUGUGUUUGUUUCUCAUGAAAUGAAGGUGAGUCACAAACCCUUUCCCAGGCAGGUUAACUUUACUUAAACAUCCAUCCGUCCCAAUUGGAAAGGGAGGAGGGGAGAGCCCAUUCUAUCCCAUCGUAUAGAUAGGAUUGUCGCCAAUCUUGCCCAUAAAGAGGGGGGCAGGAGGGGAGUUCCCAACAUGGCUCAGUGGUUAAUAAAUCCAACUAGGAACCGUGAGGUUGCAGGUUCGAUCCCUGGCCUCUUUCAGUGGGUCAAGGAUCCGGUGUUGCCAAGAGCUGUGCGUUGCAGAGAGCUGUGGUAUAGGUCGCAGAUGCAGCUCAGAUCCAGCGUAGGCCAGCGGCUACAGCUCCGAUUAGAUCCCUAGCCUGGGAACCUCCAUAUGCUGAGGGUUCGGCCUUAAAAAGACAAAAAAGGGAGGGGGGGGCAGGAGGGAAGGAGCAGGGGGUGAAGGAGCUUAUCUACCUCUCUGUGAUCUCAUGUCCUUCCACCCAGUUAAUUCAGGAUAUUUCUUUCUCUCUUUUUUUUUUUCAGGCUGCACCCAUGGCACAUGGAAGUUCCCAGGCUAGUGGUCAAAUGGGAGCUGCAGUUGCCAGCCUACAUAUCACAGCCACAAGCAAUGCCAGAUCUGAGCUGCCUCUGAGACCUCUACCUCAGCUCAUGGCAACGCCAGAUCUGAACCCACUGAGCAAGGCCAGGGAUACUACUUGGGUUCAUAACCCACUGAGCCACAACGGGAACUCCCUGCAGUCAGAUUCUUAACCCACUGUGCCACAGCAGGAACUCCCUAAAACAUAUACUUUAAUGGAUGCUAAUAAUGGCCACACAUCAUUGUGAGUGUACCUAAUGCUCCAGACGCUACACCUGAAAAUGUUUAAAAUGGUGAAUUUUAUGUAUGUUUUACCACAAUAACAAAAACAUACAAAAGAGCAGUGUCUUUUGUGUGAUGCCAUUGCACUCCAAAUUUUAUAAACAU